AGGGCACCACCAGGAGUGGAGCCUGCGGCUUAAUUUGACUCAACACGGGGAAACUCACCCGGCCCGGACACAGGUAGGAUUGACAGAUUGAGAGCUCUUUCUUGAUUCUGUGGGUGGUGGUGCAUGGCCGUUCUUAGUUGGUGGAGCGAUUUGUCUGGUUAAUUCCGAUAACGAACGAGACUCUAUUCUGCUAAAUAGUUACGCGACCCUGUCGGUCGGCGUUGUUAAACUUCUUAGAGAGACUAGUGGCGUUUAGCCACACGAGAUUGAGCAAUAACAGGUCUGUGAUGCCCUUAGAUGUCCGGGGCUGCACGCGCGCUACAAUGAAUAAAGCAGCGUGUCUGUUACCUUGGCCGAAAGGUCUGGGAAACCCCGUAAAUUUAUUCGUGCUAGGGAUAGAGAUCUGGAAUCCUCUCUUGAACGAGGAAUUCCCAGUAAAUGCGAAUCAUCAGUUCGCGUUGAUUACGUCCCUGCCCUUUGUACACACCGCCCGUCGCUACUACCGAUUGAAUGGUUUAG
rnacentral:rRNA from 1 species